rnacentral:lncRNA from 1 species
GUUUGGUGAUAUAACUCAUUAACUAAAUAUAAUUAAGACCUAUGGUCUUUUGAUUUGAGGUCCUUGGUUUAUGACCUUGAAAUUGAUCUCAAGGUCAUAGCUUAAUUUGACGUUCUAGAUUUUGACCUUUGAUUUUAUUCUAUAUGUAUACAUGAUAAAUAUAUACAACUUUUAGAAAAAGGUAUCAAACCAUUUAACCUUGAAAAAACAACCGGAAGUGACCUUUUGUAAACC